rnacentral:rRNA from 1 species
GUCAUAUGCUUUUUUCAAGGGCUAAGCCAUGCAAGUGAAAGAGUAACUGUAUCUAGAGGAGGUCUGCAGACGGCUCAUUAUAUCAUCAAUGAUCUACCCGGCGACGGCUGCGUCAAGCGGCCCAUCUGGAUAACCACACUAACUGUGUGGCUAAUACAUGUAAGACAGUGCUUGCUCCCAUCCCAGCACUGAGGGGUGACCCAAAGUGCGGGUGCAGGCAACUAUUGCCCGAAACAAAAACCAACGCCAGUAAUGGCACAAACAGACUGUUGAGACAGGGCAACUUGAUGAAAGCGCAUGUCUUCGGAUGGCGCGGUGCCGGACGAAUUUAUGCCCUAUCAGCUUUGAUGGUAGGGUAGUGGCCUACCAUGGCUUUGACGGGUAACGGGGAAUUGGGGUUCGAUUCCGGAGAGGGUGCCUGAGAAAUGGCAACCAUACCUAAGGGAAGCAGCAGGCGCGCAAAUUGCCCAAUGCCAACACUGGCGAGGCAGCGACGAAAAAUAACAACUCUGCACACUUUGUGUCGCGGAGUUUGUAAUGGACUGUAUUUAAAUCCACUGCUGAGUAUCUAUUGGAGGGCAAGUCUGGUGCCAGCAGCCGCGGUAAUUCCAGCUCCAAUAGCGUAUAUCAAUGUUGUUGCGGUUAAAAAGCUCGUAGUUGGAUUCAGAGUUUAUGGUUGUGGGCAGGCUACCCCUGCGUGUUCUUCCUCUUUGGAUUUGCACUAGGGGGUGGAACAACUGCCCACAAUAACCAUAACCCUUCGUACAUGGAAUAGUUCGGUCGGCAGAAGUCUCCUUCACUGUGAGAUGGAUGCACCUUCGGAGCUAACACACUCCCUCAGACCCGUCCAUGGAUGUUACUGUGAGUAAAACAGGCUGUUCAAAGGAACCGACUCUGUUCGGUUUGAAUGAUUCAGCAUGGAAUAACAAGGGAUCGACCAUUGGUGGCCUUCUUUUUGUUGGUUUUCUAGCCCCAGUGUGGCAAUUCAGAACAAGUGCCCCACCAUGUUAACCGGCCAAGGGUCCGCCUGAGGUCGGUGCAUGCGUGAGCCUUGCUUCUUAUCGGGAUCAAUAGGUGCAGAAGGGGGUGUCAGUAUUUCCGGGUGAGAGGUGAAAUUCUUAGACCCUGGAAAGACUCCCAGAAGCGAAAGCGGUCACCAAUUCUGCAUUCAUUAAUCAAGAACGAGAGUAAGGGGAUCGAAGAUGAUCAGAUACCGUCGUAGUCCUUUCCGUAAAUUAUGCUGGCUUGGGAUCGGUCAAUGCUCUCUAUUGACCUGAUCGGCACCUCCCUUGAGCGAGAAAUCAAAGCGUUUGAGUUCCGGGGGGAGUAUAUUCGCAAGGCUGAAACUUAAAGGAAUUGACGGAAAAGCACCACCAGACGUGGAGUGUGUGGCUUAAUUUGACUCAACACGGGAAAUUUUACCAGGUCAGGACAUGGUUAGGAUUGCCAGAUUGAGAGUUCUUGCAUGAUUCCAUGAAUGGUGGUGCAUGGCCGUUCUUGGUUGGUGGAGUGAUUUGUCUGCUUAAUUGCGAUAACGAACGAGAUCUCUGCCAAUAAAUAGAUGCUGCUUCCGCGUUUGUAGGCCAGCAGCUGAAGCGUGCUUGCACAAUUCAGGUCUGUUGUGCUGAGGAAGCAGAAAUUUACUCAUUGGGAUUAUGCAUCCUUUCAAUGCAUUGAAACUAGAGCCAAUAGCAGGUCUGUGAUGCUCCUUAUAUGUUCUGGGCUGCACGCGCACUACAUGACGCAGUCAGCAAGCUUUACGCUUUGCGGUCCUGGCCCGAAGGGGUUGGGGAAUCUUUUGAGCCUGCGUCGUGAUAGGGAUAGAUGGUUGCAAUUAUUUGCCUUGAACGAGGAAUGUCUAGUAGGCCCGUUUCAUCAGAACGGACCGAUUACGUCCCUGCUUUUUGUACACACCGCCCGUCGUUGCUACCGAUUGGUUGGAAGGUAAAACCAUUUGGAGGUGGCAUCAUGCUUGCUUCGGCUUGUGUGUCGUUGCCAAAAUUUGGUGAUAUUUUGCAACUAGAGGAAGCAAAAGUCGUAACAAGGUAGCUGUAGGUGA